rnacentral:rRNA from 1 species
AACGAACGCUGGCGGCGUGCCUAACACAUGCAAGUCGAGCGAGAAAGCCCGCAAGGGUGAGUAAAGCGGCGCACGGGUGCGUAACACGUGGGUAAUCUGCCCUGAAGCCCGGGAUAACUCGCCGAAAGGCGUGCUAAUACCGGAUAGGACCACGGGAACUUCGGUUUCUGCGGGAAAAGGUGGCCUCUGUACACAAGCUAUCUCUUCAGGAUGAGCCCGCGGCCCAUCAGCUAGUUGGCGGGGUAACGGCCCACCAAGGCUACGACGGGUAGCUGGUCUAAGAGGACGAUCAGCCACACUGGAACUGAGACACGGUCCAGACUCCUACGGGAGGCAGCAGUGGGGAAUCUUGCGCAAUGGGCGAAAGCCUGACGCAGCAACGCCGCGUGUGUGAUGAAGGUCUUCGGAUCGUAAAGCACUGUCGGGAGGGACGAAUAAGGCCGGCGCUAACAUCGCCGGUUGAUGACGGUACCUCCAAAGGAAGCACCGGCUAACUCUGUGCCAGCAGCCGCGGUAAAAC